CCUACGGGUGGCUGCAGUGGGGAAUAUUGGACAAUGGGCGAAAGCCUGAUCCAGCCAUGCCGCGUGUGUGAAGAAGGCCUUCGGGUUGUAAAGCACUUUCAGUGGGGAAGAAAGCCUUGGGGCUAAUACCCUCGAGGAAGGACAUCACCCACAGAAGAAGCACCGGCUAACUCCGUGCCAGCAGCCGCGGUAAUACGGAGGGUGCGAGCGUUAAUCGGAAUUACUGGGCGUAAAGCGCGCGUAGGCGGUCUGAUAAGCCGGCUGUGAAAGCCCCGGGCUCAACCUGGGAACGGCAUCCGGAACUGUCAGGCUAGAGUGCAGGAGAGGAAGGUAGAAUUCCCGGUGUAGCGGUGAAAUGCGUAGAGAUCGGGAGGAAUACCAGUGGCGAAGGCGGCCUUCUGGACUGACACUGACGCUGAGGUGCGAAAGCGUGGGUAGCAAACAGGAUUAGAUACCCUAGUAGUC
rnacentral:rRNA from 1 species